rnacentral:rRNA from 1 species
CAGCUCCUCGAGUGGUGGGGAUGAUUAUUUGGCCUAAAGCGUCCGUAGCCGGCCGGGUAAGUUUCCCGUUAAAUCCAGCGUCUCAAGCGUUGGACUGCGGGAAAUACUGCCUGGCUAGAGAGUGGGAGAGGUCAGCGGUAUUCUGGGGGUAGGGGCGAAAUCCUUUGAGCCCCGGAGGACCACCAGUGGCGAAGGCUGCUGACUAGAACCCGUCUGACGGUCAGGGACGAAAGCUGGGGUAGCGAACCGGAUUAGAGACCCGAGUAGUCC